GCUUGUCUCAAAGAUUAAGCCAUGCAUGUCUAAGUAUAAGCAUUAUACAGUGAAACUGCGAAUGGCUCAUUAUAUCAGUUAUAGUUUAUUUGAUAGUCCCUACUAUUUGGAUAACCGUAGUAAUUCUAGAGCUAAUACAUGCGUACAGCCUCAACUCACGGAGAGGUGUAUUUAUUAGAUGGAAACCAAUGCGGGGCAACCCGGUAUAUGGUGAUUCAUAAUAACUUUCGGAUCGAUCUUCGGAUCGAUGCAUCAUUCAAGUUUCUGCCCUAUCAGCUUUGGAUGGUAGGGUAUUGGCCUACCAUGGCUUUAACGGGUAACGGAGAAUUAGGGUUCGAUUCCGGAGAGGGAGCCUGAGAAAUGGCUACCACAUCCAAGGAAGGCAGCAGG
rnacentral:rRNA from 1 species